rnacentral:lncRNA from 1 species
AAUGUGAAUCAAUCAGAGUCACUAUCUUGACCAUUUUCCGAUUUGUCAGGAGGCAAAUGGUGUCUCCAAAGAAAGUACAUGUGAAGACAACGUGAAAUUGUAGACUGCAGAAAAUUGCACAAGCAGUUAUCAAACUCAUGUCACAGAAGUGGUAAAGGACAUGUGUUACAACUGAGCGGUAUUCUUUUGUAAAGUUUUUGGCUAGUUGUUGGUAUUUAUUUUUAAAUUGAUAUUUGAGGUCGGAUAAAAAAAAUGACUUUUUAAUGGUUGUAUCAGGAAACUUUUUAUGAACAAAAAAAUUUCUCUUCGGUAACACCCCCGCCAUAGAUAAUGACCGGGCCCUUACGGGAGUUGCCACCUAUUGGAAUAAGCGUCACUCGAUGGUGAUGAAAGACUUUUAUCGAAAUGUUUCAGAGAAAAAACUGGACCAAAAUGUAUUAUUAUUGGAUUGAUGUUGUCGUUGUUAAUGUUAGAAUUAUUGAAAUAAAGCUAGG